rnacentral:rRNA from 1 species
UACAGAGGGGGCAAGCGUUGUUCGGAAUUACUGGGCGUAAAGGGCGCGUAGGCGGCCUGUUAAGUCGAACGUGAAAUCCCCGGGCUCAACCCGGGAACUGCGUCCGAUACUGGCAGGCUUGAAUCCGGGAGAGGGAUGCGGAAUUCCAGGUGUAGCGGUGAAAUGCGUAGAGAUCCGGAGGAACACCAGCGGCGAAGGCGGCGUCCUGGACUGGUACUGACGCUCAGGAGCGAAAGCGUGGGGAGCGAUCCGG